rnacentral:lncRNA from 1 species
AGAAAGAAAGUCUUUAUUACAUAUGGCCCUAUCCAGUCGUAGGACAAUAGAAAAUUGCCCUUUUCUUCCGUUUAACCAAGUGGAAAAAGCUCCACUUGUAGGAAUAUGCGUCAAGGAGCAGGAAUCUAUCCACACUCUAAAUUCAUUGCAAGAACUUUAAGAAGGGAGGAGGCCACUCAUUUUUUGAGACCCCAAAACAACGUUGAAGUCUCCUAUGUAACACCCUCCAAAACGAGACAUAUGCCAAGAAGCUAACUCUUCCCACAACUCUCUGCGAAUAGAUUGGGAGGUGGAGGCAUAAACUGUAGCCAAGUGCAACAAUUGUUGAUUAUCUGUAUCAGAGCUAGCAACAAAUUUCUUGGAGCAAUGGAUGAUAUCAAUGGAUAGAUAACCUUUCAUGAUGAGGGUUCAUGUUUUUCCUACCCCAGUUCAGG